rnacentral:rRNA from 1 species
UAGGGAAUCUUCGGCAAUGGGGGCAACCCUGACCGAGCAACGCCGCGUGAGUGAAGAAGGUUUUCGGAUCGUAAAGCUCUGUUGUAAGAGAAGAACGUGUGUGAGAGUGGAAAGUUCACACAGUGACGGUAACUUACCAGAAAGGGACGGCUAACUACGUGCCAGCAGCCGCGGUAAUACGUAGGUCCCGAGCGUUGUCCGGAUUUAUUGUGCGUAAAGCGAGCGCAGGCGGUUUAAUAAGUCUGAAGUUAAAGGCAGUGGCUUAACCAUUGUUCGCUUUGGAAACUGUUAAACUUGAGUGCAGAAGGGGAGAGUGGAAUUCCAUGUGUAGCGGUGGAAUGCGUAGAUAUAUGGAGGAACACCGGUGGCGAAAGCGGCUCUCUGGUCUGUAACUGACGCUGAGGCUCGAAGGCGUGGGGAGCAAACAGG